UACGGAAGGUGCGAGCGUUAAUCGGAAUUACUGGGCGUAAAGCGCACGUAGGUGGCUUGGUAAGUCGGAUGUGAAAGCCCCGGGCUCAACCUGGGAACGGCAUUCGAUACUGCUGAGCUAGAGUACGAAAGAGGGGGGUGGAAUUCCAGGUGUAGCGGUGAAAUGCGUAGAGAUCUGGAGGAACACCGGUGGCGAAGGCGGCCCCCUGGUUCGAUACUGACGCUGAGGUGCGAAAGCGUGGGGAGCAAACAGG
rnacentral:rRNA from 1 species